GCCAGGCGCGGUGGCUCACGCCUGUAAUCCCAGCACUUUGGGAGGCCGAGGUGGGCGGAUCACAAGGUCAGGAGAUCGAGACCAUCCUGGCUAACACAGUGAAACCCUGUCUCUACUAAAAAUACAAAAAAUUAGCCAGAUGUGGUGGCGGGCACCUGUAGUCCCAGCUACUCGGGAGGCUGAGGCAGGAGAAUAGCAUGAACCUUAAUUUUUUGUAUUUUUAGUAGAGAUGAGGUUUCACCGUGUUAGCCAGGAUGGUCUCCAUCUCCUGACCUCGUGAUCCGCCCUCCUU
rnacentral:sRNA from 1 species